AACGAACGCUGGCGGCAGGCUUAACACAUGCAAGUCGAGCGAAGACUUCGGUCUUAGCGGCGGACGGGUGAGUAACACGUGGGUAACCUACCUAUAAGACUGGGAUAACUCCGGGAAACCGGGGCUAAUACCGGAUAAUAUUUUGAACCGCAUGGUUCAAUAGUGAAAGACGGUUUCGGCUGUCACUUAUAGAUGGACCCGCGCCGUAUUAGCUAGUUGGUAAGGUAAUGGCUUACCAAGGCGACGAUACGUAGCCGACCUGAGAGGGUGAUCGGCCACACUGGAACUGAGACACGGUCCAGACUCCUACGGGAGGCAGCAGUAGGGAAUCUUCCGCAAUGGGCGAAAGCCUGACGGAGCAACGCCGCGUGAGUGAUGAAGGUCUUCGGAUCGUAAAACUCUGUUGUUAGGGAAGAACAAAUUUGUUAGUAACUGAACAAGUCUUGACGGUACCUAACCAGAAAGCCACGGCUAACUACGUGCCAGCCGCCGCCGUAACAC
rnacentral:rRNA from 1 species